rnacentral:rRNA from 1 species
UACAGAGAGUGCAAACGUUGUUCGGAAUUACUGGGCGUAAAGCGUGCGUAGACGGUUACAUAAGUCAGAUGUGAAAGCCCCGGGCUCAACCUGGGAAUUGCAUUUGAGACUGCGUAGCUAGGGUGCGGAAGAGGGAAGCGGAAUUUCCGGUGUAGCGGUGAAAUGCGUAGAUAUCGGAAGGAACACCAGUGGCGAAAGCGGCUUCCUGGUCCAGCACCGACGUUCAGGCACGAAAGCGUGGGGAGCAAACAGG